rfam:Ipomoea nil DNA, scaffold: scaffold0642, cultivar: Tokyo-kokei standard.
AACAACGGUGAUGAGCUCUACAGACCUGUAAUGAGCUGCGAAAAUGAUCGCAAAGUUGUAUUUUAACAUCUAAGGGACUGAGUUGCU